GACGAUCGCUGGCGGCGUGCUUAACACAUGCAAGUCGAACGGAAAGGCCCUGCUUUUGUGGGGUGCUCGAGUGGCGAACGGGCGAGUAACACGUGAGUAACCUGCCCUUGACUUUGGGAUAACUUCAGGAAACUGGGGCUAAUACCGGAUAGGAGCUCCUGCUGCAUGGUGGGGGUUGGAAAGUUUCGGCGGUUGGGGAUGGACUCGCGGCUUAUCAGCUUGUUGGUGGGGUAGUGGCUUACCAAGGCUUUGACGGGUAGCCGGCCUGAGAGGGUGACCGGCCACAUUGGGACUGAGAUACGGCCCAGACUCCUACGGGAGGCAGCAGUGGGGAAUAUUGCACAAUGGGCGGAAGCCUGAUGCAGCAACGCCGCGUGCGGGAUGACGGCCUUCGGGUUGUAAACCGCUUUCGCCUGUGACGAAGCGUGAGUGACGGUAAUGGGUAAAGAAGCACCGGCUAACUACGUG
rnacentral:rRNA from 1 species